CUGAUUCUGACUGGGUCCUGGGUCCUGGUCAAGAUGGAGCAGUUCUUCAGGGUGUAGGAUUUUGCUCGUGUUGGCUCCAACUCUCUGACAACACAGACAUGCGCCAAGAGGAAUGGAGAGAAUAGCUGGAGCUCAGCGUCCCAGGAGCCUCUUGAAAGCUGAUCUAGAAUGCUGCAGGGCCUGCCGGCUUCACUUACGGGACCUGAAAUCCUUGCUCCUCCUGUGACUGGCUUUCCUGUGAUGUUCUUCCUCAUCACUGAGUAUUGAAAUUCGAGUGGAUAUUUAGAGGGCCUUUUCCGAGAGGAAAAUCACCAGUGUCCGUCAGAUCUACACACACCAGAUGCGAAAACAAGAAUAAUAGAAGUGUGUAAUUUUAGCUAAAGCCAAAUAUGGUCAGAAGAUGCUUCCAAGAAGUUAUUCCCCAUUCAAGUACAUUUUGGAUUUUUUAGAGCCUUCAACGAGAGUAAGUAAAUUGAAAGGUUUCUUGUAAACACCAGUCAAAAUGUUGCAAUAAGUCAUCUUCUAAACUACAUAAACAUUUAGGCUCAAUUAUAUAAUUUCUAUUUUUUUUUUAAUCUUGAAAAACAAAACAAAACCAAAAAGAGAUCCUUGUGAUUAGUCCUUGUACUUACUUCAUCCACUUCCCAAGUGUUGGCUUCUCCGUGACUUUAAGUUUGUAGAAUGUGGUGUCACUGUGUUUAGGACUGAGCACAUCUCCAAAGCAUCUUUUUUUUUUUUUUUUUCCCUUG
rnacentral:lncRNA from 1 species